UGGAUGUUUUGCCCUCCCAAGUCUUCGAGCCGGUCACGUGACUAAAAGCGAAUAGAGGCUAACUAUAAGAGCAGAGUUGGAGGGGACCUCUUAUCGAAGAACAUCUCCAAGACACUAUGAACCAUCUGACUAGGCUGUUCGUGAAGACAGACAAUCAAGAGAUGUUGUGACAACCUGGACAGAAUUCAGCUCCAGAUCGACCCUCCACACCAGACUUCUCACUCACAAGGAUUGCUUUCUAAUAGCAUAUUAUUUGUUCUC